rnacentral:rRNA from 1 species
CUAACAAGGAUUCCUUUAGUAACUGCGAGUGAAGAGGGAAAAGCUCAAAUUUAAAAUCUGGCAGUGUUUUGCUGUCCGAGUUGUAACCUAGAGAAGUGUAACCUGGGCUGGACCAUGUACAAGUCUCCUGGAAUGGAGCAUCGCAGAGGGUGAGAAUCCCGUCUUUGACAUGGACUACCAGUGCAUUGUGGUUGUGCUCUCAACGAGUCGAGUUGUUUGGGAAUGCAGCUCUAAAUGGGUGGUAAAUUCCAUCUAAAGCUAAAUAUUGGCGAGAGACCGAUAGCGAACAAGUACCGUGAGGGAAAGAUGAAAAGAACUUUGGAAAGAGAGUUAAACAGUAUGUGAAAUUGUUGAAAGGGAAACGUUUGAAGUCAGUCAUGUUGGYUGGGGAUCAGCCUGGCAGAUUGCCGGGUGUACUUCCUGGUUGACGGGCCAACAUCAGUUUUGACUGCCAGAAAAAGGCCAAGGGAAUGUGGCACCUUUGGGUGUGUUAUAGCUCUUGGUCGUAUGUGGUGGUUGGGACUGAGGAGAGCAGUGCGCCGAAAGGCAGGGUUUCGACCACAUUCGCACUGAGGAUGUUGGCAUAAUGGCUUUAAGCGACCCGUCUUGAAACACGGACCAAGGAGUCUAACAUGCAUGCGAGUGUUUGGGUGGAAAACUCUUACGCGCAAUGAAAGUGAAAGUUGAGAUCCCUGUCGUGGGGAGCAUCGACGCCCGGACCAGAACUUUUGGGACGGAUCUGCGGUAGAGCAUGUAUGUUGGGACCCGAAAGAUGGUGAACUAUGCCUGAAUAGGGUGAAGCCAGAGGAAACUCUGGUGGAGGCUCGUAGCGAUUCUGACGUGCAAAUCGAUCGUCAAAUUUGGGUAUAGGGGCGAAAGACUAAUCG